UACGUAGGUCGCAAGCGUUAUCCGGAUUUACUGGGCGUAAAGCGUCCGCAGCCUGUUUUGUAAGUCUAUUUUCAAAACCCAGAGCUCAACUUUGGACAGGGAAUAGAUACUGCAUUACUAGAGUAUUGUAGAGGUAAGUAGAAUUUCCUGUGGAGGGGUGAAAUCCGUUGAUAUAGGAAGGAAUGCCAAAAGCGAAAGCAGCUUACUAUACUCUUACUGACGGUCAUGGACGAAAGUAUAGGUAGCAAACGGG
rnacentral:rRNA from 1 species